rnacentral:rRNA from 1 species
UGCAGGGGAAGACUGGGAAUUCCUGGUGUAGCGGUGAAAUGCGCAGAUAUCAGGAGGAACACCGGUGGCGAAGGCGGGUCUCUGGGCAGUAACUGACGCUGAGGAACGAAAGCGUGGGUAGCGAACAGGAUUAGAUACCCUGGUAGUCCACGCCGUAAACGGUGGGCGCUAGGUGUGGGUUCCUUCCACGGAAUCCGUGCCGUAGCUAACGCAUUAAGCGCCCCGCCUGGGGAGUACGGCCGCAAGGCUAAAACUCAAAGGAAUUGACGGGGGCCCGCACAAGCGGNCGGAGCAUGAUCAGCAGCUUCCA